GAAUCUGAAUUUAUUUUAUUGAUUUUAAUUUUGUAAAUUUUAUUUCUUCCAUAUAGCUGGUUUACAGUGUUCUGUCAAUUUUCUACUGUACAGCAAGGGGACCCAGUUACACAUACAUGUACGUUCUUUUUUCUCACAUUAUCCUGCUCCAUCAUAAGUGACUAUGAAUUUAUUUUAUUUAUUUUUGUCUUUUUAGGUCUGCAUGUGCAGCAUGUGGAAGUUCCCAGGCUAGGGGUCCAAUGGGAGCUGCAGCUGCCGGCCUACACCACGGCCACAGCAACGCCAGAUCCAAGCCAAGUCUGCAACCUACACCAUAGCUCAGGGCGAUGCAGGAUCCUUAACCAGCCAGGGACAGGAUAAGCCCCUGCAAGGCCGGGGAUCAAACCUGCAUCCUCAUGGAUACUAGUCAGAUUCGUUUUCACUGAGCCACAAAGGGAACUCCUGAAUUUAUUUUAAAAUGUCAGCCCUUUAAUAUAAAGAACAAGUUCUUUGUGAUGCAUGUGGCUGCCAGACAGGACACCCCAGGGUGUGCUGAGAACUGCUGAUUUAAAGGAAUCCAAGGACAGGAAAUGUUUGCAAAGUGGAGAGUCCCCCUGGCAAAGCAAAUGAUGCCCCCAACUGAUUUGUCCCUGAGAGUGUCCCUGGAGUUUGCAUAGUGCAGACCUCCUGGUCACUGUCCCUCUCUCCCCACACAGCCACAGUGAUGGAGUAUUUGCAUCUGGCCCUGAGGCCCAUCUGCAGCCUCCCACCGCUGCUCACCCGGAGCGAGGUGCGCAGCGUGACCGUGACGCACACCUUCCAGAUCGCCAAGGCGCGCGCCCAGCUUGGCUACGCGCCGGACAAGUUCAGCUUCGCCGACGCGGUGGACCGAUACGUGCAGUCCACGGCCGGGCGGACCCACAGCUCUACGGCGAGGACGCUCCUGCGGCUGCUGCUUGGGCUGCUGCUACUCCUCGGCCUGCUCGCCCUGGCCCUGCACUUCCUGGCCCUGCAGCCGUCGUUUGUCUGAUCGUCGUCGCCGGCCUGUCCUUGCCCCUGCCUCAUCUUGGCGACCUGGAUCCAGCCCUACUCAGCCCCCGGGAUUUGAGCCCGCCCCCGAGUCCUGGACUGGUCCCCGCCCAGCCCUCUGCCCCGGCUCCACUUCCUGGGUAUUGUCCCCGCCUCCCGCGUUCUGACCCCGCCCCUGUCACGCCCACUGGGCUUUGACGGGCCCAUGCCCCGCCUUUGGAGCCGUGGUCACGCCCCCCGCGUCUGGGUUUCCCUCCUAACCUCCGAGCCUCGGUCUGCCCUGGCCCGUGUCUUGGUUUCCCUCUGGCCUGGUUGAGAUGCCAAGGAGAAGUUCCUAGCCUCACAGCCUCCUCUGCCUUCCAGGCCUUCUCCGCGUCCCUGCCCAGGUGUGCCCCGACCCCGGGUUCACCCCCACUCUGGCUCCGCCCUCUUUCUAGCUCUACCAAUACAUCUGAGCCCCCUCCCCCCGUCCCUUGGCUUCUGCUUUGGAAACUGGCUUAGCCCCUUCCUCUUGGUUGGGUCCUUCCGCUCGCCUACUUGAGUUUCGGCCCUAGCCACGCCCCUCCCUUAUGGCUCCACCCCCUCCGGCCACACCUCCUGGGUGAGUUCUUGCGUCCUGGCUGCCGCGGCUUCUGCAGGCUGGGCUAAC
rnacentral:lncRNA from 1 species